rnacentral:tRNA from 1 species
GGGGCCGUAGCUCAGUUGGGAGAGCGACAGGCUGGCAGUCUGUAGGUCGUGGGUUCGAGUCCCACCGGCUCCA